AUGGUAUAGUAUAAAUAGUUUAUUUUAUGUAAUAUGCUUAAUGAAUUUUUAUAAGUAACAACUUUUUUAAUUCAUUUAGAUCCUUCGAAUUGGAUAGUUUGUUAUUCAAAAUUAUGCUUCGAUAAAGUCAUUGAUAAAUCUUUAAGUUUUACAAAGAUUAAUGUUUAAGACAGUUUAACUGAUUCCCACAGCAAAAAAGAACUUUAAAAUGCUGUUGGCAAUAAUCUAAACCCCACAUCUGAUCUAAAAGAAGGCGAAUGACAUAAAGUGUUUCAACAGUCGAUUCUUGGAAAAUAACAAGUGGAUAAAGAAGUUUAAAAAAAAAUGUAAUUUAUAAAAUUUAGCACAAUUAUAUUAUUAAAAAGUUUACGCAAA